AAGAGCAGCUAUAUGCCCUGAUUUGUCGGCGGUUGGAAUAAUAAUCGAUGCUAAAUCUGCCUGCCUUUAACUUUCUCCUCAGGGUUCGACCAGUUUCUUCUCUCUCAAUCUUUAUUCUGUUUUUCCACUUUCAGAAGCUCCCAUCACCAUCUUUGUUUUUCCUUCCUGAGUUCUCUUGCAUUGUUCUUGGCCAUAUUUUCCUCUACUGUCUUAUGAACCUUUGUUGCCGUCGACCUUGUUACACACACUUUUUUCCUAUUUUUCCACUUCGAAAAAAAGCCCCCAAACCCUACUAACCCGAACCCUCCUUUCCCAAUUUUCAUCAAUGCUGCUUUUGCAAUCUGUGACAACAUGCUCCUCUGUUUCGUCUCUUCAGCCAUAUCUGAGCGACAUCUCCUCAUACGUUGUGUGUGGUUUGAAUCUGCCACUAUCUCCUUCGACCUCUGUCGCUGUCACCUUCGUCGCUCCACCACGCAUCACAAGUUCUUCCUUUUCCUUUUGUGAGCUGAACUUAUUUUGGAGGCUAAGCUAAACUGUGAUUUAGAAAAUUAAACAAAAUAGAAGAAAAUAAAAGAUACACUCUCUGCCUUGAGGUCUUUGAUGUAUUCUUAUUCUCCCCUUCUUGAUGCUAUAGUUGUCCCUUCCGAAGUUUAUCACCACAUUUCCUAUUUUUUAAUUCAAUUCACUUUCAUUUUAGGUCGAAGAUUUUGCAUUCAAUUUAAUUAACCAUUAUUUUAUUGAGACCAGUUCCAAUAGAAUUUGGAUUUUGUUUUUAUAAUUUGGAAGUUUCAUUUAGCAUUGUGUGGCAAUUUCAUUCCUGUCAUGGGAUGAACUUAGAUUAUUCUGUGAUUGAGUCUUUCUAUCUCAAUACUUGUGUGAUUUUGCUAUGUCAUUAUUGAAAUUUUUUAUUGUGUUUCAACCUUCAAACCUAACAAGAAUCAGAUUCGUAGUUUGUUAUCUUCCUCGUGCGAACACAAAAGGGGCAGAGGCAUGAAACACACCUCCGCGCACAAAUCCUUGCUGCCGUUCCUUUCUGUCCUCAGUACCAGCUGCAUCACGCUUUCCGUUUUCGAUGCGUCCAUCGUCGAUUUAUAAGAUAUGAAAAAGAAGGAGAAGAAACUCCAAUCCAAGGAGGCUGAAUUGAGAAGGAGGGAACAUGUAUAUACAUGGAUGUUUGAUGGUUUUACUUAGUUUGGAGUUUCCAUGAUUGAUAAUCAUAACCUGAUAAUAUAGGAAUUAACGUGCAUCUUAUUUUAUUUGAUGUAUCAAAAAUAUAGGAACUGAGAAGAAAAGAAGAAGCAGUUGCAUGAGGUAUACAUUUUCUUUAUGGCUCCAUUUUUGGAAGACCUUAUUGUUUGCUGGAGCUGUUGGAGAUACUCUUGGUUCUGUUGUAUAUGUUCCAUGCGAAGUGAUGACGCAAUGCAUGCAAGUGCAUGAAACAUAUUCAUCUUGGAGUUCUAUCGCCAUGAAUGAUGGCAUUGCAAUGAAUUCAAGCAAAAAACUGUAUGGUUAUUAUAUAGGGAUGUUCCAUGCGGGCUGCUCAAUAUGGAGAACACAAGGCUUAAAGUGUUUAUAUGCAGGGUAUACUCUAGAAACACUCAAUUUCUCUUAUAUAACUUGCAUAAUGACACUCGAGGUCCUGUUUCAGAUUUGAUAGAUUUUUGGAUGCAGUAUUGUAUUCUAGGCAACAAUCAGGCAAUUCUUUUCAUGAUUCAGUUUUAUUAUUUUGCAAAUGUCAAUAGGUGUCAGUUGACACUGAGUGGAUAAAGAGCAAUUGGAGAUGUAAAUUGAGUAUAUAUGAUAUGAAUGUGUCAUAACGGAAACUCAAACUAUUUCUACUUUAUAUGAAAUCUAGUUUCCUUCUAGAUCCAUAAUAAUUUACCGUGUGAUAUAUAUACUAUAAUGAUCAUUAACCCCAAAUUUUAUAUUAAUUGGACAUUACUAUGUAUAUAAUUGAAUAGCUAGCUUUUACUUAUAUUUUUAAA